CCUUAGGGCCACGCUGCACGCCCCAUCUCGUCUGAUCUCAGAAGCUAAGCAGGGUUGGGGCUGGUUACUACUUUGAUGGGAGACCGCCUGGGAAUACCAGAUGCUGUAAGCU
rnacentral:rRNA from 1 species